rnacentral:rRNA from 1 species
ACGGCUCAGUAACACGUGGACAACCUACCCUAUGGCGGGGGAUAACCCCGGGAAACUGGGGAUAAUACCCCGUAGACUAUGGAUGCUGGAAUGCUCUGUAGCCAAAAGGUCAGCCGCCAUAGGAUGGGUCUGCGGCCGAUUAGGUAGUUGUUGGGGUAACGGCCCAACAAGCCUGUAAUCGGUACGGGUUGUGGGAGCAAGAGCCCGGAGAUGGAUUCUGAGACACGAAUCCAGGCCCUACGGGGCGCAGCAGGCGCGAAAACUUUACAAUGCGGGAAACCGUGAUAAGGGAACUCCGAGUGCCCGUUAAAUCGGGCUGUCCAUCUGUGUAAAUAACAGGUGAAGAAAGGGCCGGGCAAGACCGGUGCCAGCCGCCGCGGUAAUACCGGCGGCUCGAGUGGUGGCCACUAUUACUGGGCUUAAAGCGUUCGUAGCUGGUUUGUUAAGUCUCUGGGGAAAUCUUCCGGCUUAACCGGAAGGCGCCUCAGGGAUACUGGCAGACUAGGGACCGGAAGAGGUGAGGGGUACUCCAGGGGUAGGAGUGAAAUCCUGUAAUCCUUGGGGGACCACCUGUGGCGAAGGCGCCUCACCAGGACGGCUCCGACAGUGAGGGACGAAAGCUGGGGGAGCAAACCGGAUUAGAUACCCGGGUAGUCCCAGCCGUAAACGAUGUGCGUUAGGUGUAUCGGUGACCACGAGUCACCGAGGUGCCGAAGAGAAAUCGUGAAACGUACCGCCUGGGAAGUACGGUCGCAAGGCUGAAACUUAAAGGAAUUGGCGGGGGAGCAC